UGCAGUCGAACGCUUCUUUUUCCACCGGAGCUUGCUCCACCGGAAAAAGAGGAGUGGCGAACGGGUGAGUAACACGUGGGUAACCUGCCCAUCAGAAGGGGAUAACACUUGGAAACAGGUGCUAAUACCGUAUAACAAUCGAAACCGCAUGGUUUUGAUUUGAAAGGCGCUUUCGGGUGUCGCUGAUGGAUGGACCCGCGGUGCAUUAGCUAGUUGGUGAGGUAACGGCUCACCAAGGCCACGAUGCAUAGCCGACCUGAGAGGGUGAUCGGCCACAUUGGGACUGAGACACGGCCCAAACUCCUACGGGAGGCAGCAGUAGGGAAUCUUCGGCAAUGGACGAAAGUCUGACCGAGCAACGCCGCGUGAGUGAAGAAGGUUUUCGGAUCGUAAAACUCUGUUGUUAGAGAAGAACAAGGAUGAGAGUAACUGUUCAUCCCUUGACGGUAUCUAACCAGAAAGCCACGGCUAACUACGUGCCAGCAGCCGCGGUAAUACGUAGGUGGCAAGCGUUGUCCGGAUUUAUUGGGCGUAAAGCGAGCGCAGGCGGUUUCUUAAGUCUGAUGUGAAAGCCCCCGGCUCAACCGGGGAGGGUCAUUGGAAACUGGGAGACUUGAGUGCAGAAGAGGAGAGUGGAAUUCCAUGUGUAGCGGUGAAAUGCGUAGAUAUAUGGAGGAACACCAGUGGCGAAGGCGGCUCUCUGGUCUGUAACUGACGCUGAGGCUCGAAAGCGUGGGGAGCAAACAGGAUUAGAUACCCUGGUAGUCCACGCCGUAAACGAUGAGUGCUAAGUGUUGGAGGGUUUCCGCCCUUCAGUGCUGCAGCUAACGCAUUAAGCACUCCGCCUGGGGAGUACGACCGCAAGGUUGAAACUCAAAGGAAUUGACGGGGGCCCGCACAAGCGGUGGAGCAUGUGGUUUAAUUCGAAGCAACGCGAAGAACCUUACCAGGUCUUGACAUCCUUUGACCCUCUAAAGAAAGAGCUUCCCUUCGGGGGAAAGUGACAGGGGGUGCAUGG
rnacentral:rRNA from 1 species